CCAGUACCGGGGGAGGGCAGCGUGGACCAGAGGCGUAGAUAUUCAGGUGCUGUGGCAGACAACGUGACAGCGAAUGCCUCAAAAAGCAACGGCCUUGCCGCAGUGGAUACACCGGUUCCCGUAAGAUUAUCGAAGUGCUGUCGGGCGUGGCCGGCACGUGUAUGGGUGACCAUCCAGGCCGCCAUGCGCUGUUGUCAUUUUUCGGAGACCACUCCGCUUCGUGAUGCCAAUCGCGGGGCUACUCGAUCGAAUAGUAGCGGCUCCGGUCAAAGAAAACCAUCACAACCACACGCCCCUCCUAUCCGCAUCCUCAACUGAGGAGGACACGGCGGUCGGAUGGUCCCGAUGGGCCACUUGUGGCCUGAAGACGAAGACGGAGUUUAAACUUUAUAUAUAUACUAAUUUCAUAGUUUUAGCUGUGUGGGUUAUAACAGAGCAUUUAUUUCUUUUUUCCGGACAUAAGCGUUUCAUUGUCAUACCCUCUGCAAUAACGUUACUCGGCAGCACAUUCAAAAAUUGAAAUUAAUUUGUAUAAGUUUGUAAGAUGUUCAUUAGUUUGUGUUACGAAAUAUUUGUGGUCAUUAAUGUGCUCUGGAUAAUUCUACAAAACUUUCAUAAUUCUAUAUUUGAUUAUAUAAUUUGUUUAAUAAUGCUAUUUUCCUAUAAAGAUCAUUCAUACUUAAAACUGAGUCUUUUUGCAGUUUUGAAUUUUCCAUUAUGUCAAAAAAUGAUCAAAUUCAAGACUGCUUUUAAUAUUUCUAUUGCUUAGUGUCAAUAACCAGUUUGUGUCACUAAAAAUCAAACCAUUGGAUUUGGUACUCUAAACCUUUUUUCAACAAAUCUAUGAAUUUUCUAGUCGGUUCAGGUGAAGAGAACAAUUUAACAUUUUUACUGUAUUAUAUCAAAAUAAAAAAUCUUGUUUUCUA